rnacentral:rRNA from 1 species
UCUUGGUCAUUUAGAGGAAGUAAAAGUCGUAACAAGGUUUCCGUAGGUGAACCUGCGGAAGGAUCAUUACCAAACUUGCGAACCCGGCUUAGGCUGUGGCUAGCUUCAACCCUUUGUGAACCAAAAAACCUUUUCGCUUCGGUUAGCAGGGAGCRGUUGUGGGUAAAACCCAACCAAUUCCAUAAGCCUGCCGAUGGCACCAACCAAUAAACUUGAAGUCAAACAUUGUCUGAAUACCAUAUUUUCGAAUGAAAAUUAAAACUUUCAACAACGGAUCUCUUGGUUCUCGCAUCGAUGAAGAACGCAGCGAAACGCGAUAGUUAAUGUGAAUUGCAGAAUUCAGUGAAUCAUCGAGUCUUUGAACGCACAUUGCGCCUAUUGGUAUUCCAUUAGGCAUGUCUGUUUGAGCGUCAUUACAAACCCUCAGCGCAAGCUGGUUUUGAGCAGGUUGACCCUUAAAAAGUCAACCGGCUUUAAAUUUGUAAGCUCUGCUGGCUGCUACGCCUAACUAAAAACAUAGUAAACUUUUGCUUGUUUGACGGUGAGGCUUGUGGACCGGCCUGAACAAAAUCUACAACUUAGGUUUGACCUCAGAUCAGACAAGGAUACCCGCUGAACUUAAGCAUAUCAAUAAGCGGAGGAAAAGAAACCAACAGGGAUUGCCUCAGUAACGGCGAGUGAAGCGGCAAAAGCUCAAAUUUGAAAUCUGGAGUCUUCGACUUCCGAGUUGUAAUUUGAAGAGGAUGUUUCGGUUGCGGCUUGGGCCCAAGUUCCUUGGAACAGGACGUCAUGGAGGGUGAGAAUCCCGUACGUGGCUACCGGCUUGCUUCUAUGUGAAACUCCUUCGAAGAGUCGAGUUGUUUGGGAAUGCAGCUCAAAAUGGGUGGUAAAUUUCAUCUAAAGCUAAAUAUUGGCGAGAGACCGAUAGCGCACAAGUAGAGUGAUCGAAAGAUGAAAAGCACUUUGAAAAGAGAGUUAAAUAGUACGUGAAAUUGUUGAAAGGGAAGCGCUUGCAAUCAGACUCGCUUUCGGUUGAUCAACGUUCCUUUUGGUUCGUGCACUCUGCCGUUUGCGGGCCAGCAUCAGUUGAUGCGGUGGGACAAAGGUUUCAGGAAUGUGGCUCUCUUCGGGGAGUGUUAUAGCCUGUUGCGUAAUGCCACCAGCUUCGAUUGAGGUCCGCGGUUCGCCUAGGAUGCUGGCUUAAUGGUUGUAAGCGACCCGUCUUGAAACACGGACCAAGGAGUCUAACAUCUAUGCGAGUCUUUGGGUGUCAAACCCAUAGGCGGAAUGAAAGUGAACGGAGGUGGGAGUCUUCGGAUGCACCAUCGACCGAUCCUGAUGUUCUCGGAUGGAUUUGAGUAUGAGCAUAGCUGUUGGGACCCGAAAGAUGGUGAACUAUGCCUGAAUAGGGUGAAGCCAGAGGAAACUCUGGUGGAGGCUCGCAGCGGUUCUGACGUGCAAAUCGAUCGUCAAAUUUGGGUAUAGGGGCGAAAGACUAAUCG